UGAGAAAUAUGGAGGUUGGGUUUCUC
rnacentral:piRNA from 1 species